CCAAUAGCGUAUAUUAAAGUUGUUGCAGUUAAAAAGCUCGUAGUUGAAUUUCGGGAUCAGUACGCUGGUCGUGCCUCCGGUAUGUACUGGUGUCACUGGUUCCUCCCUUCUGAAGAACCAUCAUGCUAUUCAUUUAGUGUGGUGGGAAAUCAGGACUGUUACUUUGAAAAAAUUAGAGUGUUUAAAGCAGGCUCACGCUUGAAUACAUUAGCAUGGAAUAAUGAAAUAGGACGUUGAUCCUAUUUUGUUGGUUUCUAGGAUUGACGUAAUGAUUAAUAGGGAUAGUUGUGGGCAUUAGUAUUCAAUUGUCAGAGGUGAAAUUCUUGGAUUUAUUGAAGACUAACUACUGCGAAAGCAUUUGCCAAGGAUGUUUUCAUUAAUCAAGAACGAAAGUUAGGGGAUCGAAGACGAUCAGAUACCGUCGUAGUCUUAACCAUAAACUAUGCCGACUAGGGAUCGGAUGAUGUUAAUUUUUUAAUGACUCAUUCGGCGCCUUACG
rnacentral:rRNA from 1 species